rnacentral:rRNA from 1 species
UGUGGUUAAAAAGCUCGUAGUUGGAUCUCGGCGGACUGAGGGCGGUUUGCUUGCUAGUAUUACUGCCCUAUAGUCCGUAGUUUUGCCAGAGGUUUCGGGGUGCUCUUAAUCGAGUGUCCCGGGAUGCUGGCAGGUUUACUUUGAAAAAAUUAGAGUGCUCAAAGCAGGCUAUUACGCCUGAAUAUUCGUGCAUGGAAUAAUAGAAUAGGAAGUCGUUUCUAUUUUGUUGGUUUUCGGAAAUCGACUUAAUGAUUAAUAGGGACAGUCGGGGGCAUUUGUAUUCAAACGACAGAGGUGAAAUUCUUGGACCGUUUGAAGACAAACUACUGCGAAAGCAUUUGCCAAGAAUGUUUUCAUUAAUCAAGAACGAAAGUUAAAGGUUCGAAGGCGAUUAGAUACCGCCCUAGUUUUAACCAUAAACGAUGCCAGCUAGCGAUCUGCGGACGUUUUUUUUGUAGACUCCGCAGGAAGCUUCCGGGAAACCAAAGCAUUUGGGUUCCAGGGGAAGUAUGGUUGCAAAGCUGAAACUUAAAGGAAUUGACGGAAAGGCACCACCAGGAGUGGAGCCUGUGGCUUAAUUUGACUCAACACGGGAAAUCUCACCAAGC